GACGAACCGAGCGAACGUUGUUCGGAAUCACUGGGCUUAAAGGGCGCGUAGGCGGGUGCUCAAGUCCGGGGUGAAAUCCCCAGGCUUAACCUGGGAACUGCGUCGGAUACUGAUUGGCUUGAAUCCGGGAGAGGGAUGCGGAAUUCCAGGUGUAGCGGUGAAAUGCGUAGAUAUCUGGAGGAACACCGGUGGCGAAGGCGGCAUCCUGGACCGGCAUUGACGCUGAACAGCGAAAGCCAGGGGAGCAAACAGG
rnacentral:rRNA from 1 species